CGGGAAUGUUGAGAUAAAGCGUCACGUUUUUUACAUUUUUGCAGUGCGGGUUAAAAGUGAAAGACUUUAAUGGUUUUUGGGUGAAUUGUGCCGUGGAAGAACUUAUUUCGAGUAAAACUAAUGGAAUGAUGGCACACACAGAAUGAUGGGCCGAUUAAACAAUUACGAAGCACGCCAGGAAGCUGAAGGUGCUUUCAUCUCGCGACGUUUGAUGUGCAGCGACGGCGGCGCCGUCAAUGAUGCGGAUCGAUAAGAUCAAGUUGUAUCUGCGUGUUGAAAUGGUGUUUCUCUUGCACAUUACGGCUAUUUGUGUAGCUAAUUUAAAGUUUUCAUCGGCG